ACGGAAGGCAGCAGUGGGGAAUAUUGGGCAAUGGGGGAAACCCUGACCCAGCAACGCCGCGUGGAGGAAGAAGGUUUUCGGAUCGUAAACUCCUGUCCUGAAAGACGAGAAGAAGACGGUAUUUCAGGAGGAAGCCCCGGCUAACUACGUGCCAGCAGCCGCGGUAAUACGUAGGGGGCAAGCGUUAUCCGGAUUUACUGGGUGUAAAGGGAGCGUAGACGGUUUGGCAAGUCUGAAGUGAAAUGCGGGGGCUCAACUCCUGAACUGCUUUGGAAACUGUCGAACUAGAGUGCAGGAGAGGUAAGUGGAAUUCCUAGUGUAGCGGUGAAAUGCGUAGAUAUUAGGAGGAACACCAGUGGCGAAGGCGGCUUACUGGACUGUAACUGACGUUGAGGCUCGAAAGCGUGGGGAGCAAACAGGAUUAGAUACCCUGGUA
rnacentral:rRNA from 1 species